CUGGAACGACAAAGCUGUUAGUGCUGCAUAAUUGAACACACUUGCCUAGGCAGAAGCUGCUGGCAAGUCCUACCUCCUGAUCAAGCUGUCUCCAGGAAGACACAUAAGACAGGAAGCUUCCAUUUGCAUCUGAUCGAAUGGGCCAAGCAACACCAGUUCCUCCGGGGAAAUUGUAUAUUCUUUGGUGUAGGGAUUAACUACAUGUUGUUUGUAUAAAGGUAUGGAACAUUUUGAAAGAAGCUGGCUGGGGUGGGGAAUUUUAAACUGAAAAAUGGCAAAGGGCAGGGGUACUUAAUCCUUUCCUCCUGUCAUUUCUCUGCUCCCGUCUGGUUCAAACAGCAGGAAAGCUAUGUCACCUGUACUGAAGAAAUGGUGGGCAGGGAAAAUAUUAUGUAUCAUCACCCUCUUUUCUCCCCUGCCGCUGCCCUGUUAAUUACAGUUACAUGGAACAUGCAGUCGUUAGGGUGUUCAAGACCUCGGUUCAAGUCUUUGCUUGGACAUUAGCUUCUUUUUGUCACUACAGAUGGGGAGAAUCCUGGUUAAAUAUAAAAAUUCCUGCACACAGUAAUGAACAGUCCAAGGAAAAAAUUAACCUAGAGCACUUUUCCUUGAUAUGAGAGUUUUCCAUGUGCAGGACAAAGGGGUUAUUGGGGGGUGGGGGAAGGUAUGGAGAAGCUUUCAGUCAUGUGACGUAUUCCAACCAGCUGUUGCACACAGUUCCAGACAUAAGCUUUGCUUUCUGUAGGAGAACAACUGUAACAAAUGUUACAUCUGGAUGCAAAAAUUCAUGUGGGCACUCCUCCUUAACCACUAUGUGUUUGACCUAUGAUUACAGAUCAUCAUUAAGGAGGAGAGACCUUAAGUAUGACCCUGGGC